rnacentral:rRNA from 1 species
GACGAACGCUGGCGGCGUGCCUAACACAUGCAAGUCGAACGAACGGACCAGGAGUUUGCGUGGCGGAUGUUAGCGGCGGAGGGGAGAGUAACACGUGUAUAACCUACCUAUAAGACUGGGAUAAUCACGGGAAACAGGAUCUAAUAGCGGAUAAUAUCUUGAAGCGCGUGGGUCAAGAGUGAGAUUCGGUCGUUGGGUCACUAAUAGAGGCAUACGCGCUUAAUGAGCUGGUUGGUAAGGAAAAGGCUUACCAAGGCAAGGAUGCAUAGCCGACCGGAGAGGGUGGUCGGCCACCUGGGAGGUGAGCCACGGUCCAGACUCCUACGGUAGGCCGCAGUAGGGAAUCUUACGCAAUGGGCGAGAGCCUUACGGAGCAACGCGGAGUGAGAGAUGAAGGUGCUAGGAUCGGAAAGAUCUGAUGUUAGUGGAGAACAUAUGUGUAAUUAACUGUGCUGAUAUUGACGGUACCUGGUCAAAAAGCCCCGGCUAACUACGUG